UACAGAGGGGGCAAGCGUUAUUCGGAAUUAUUGGGCGUAAAGGGCGCGUAGGCGGCUUUGCAAGUGACGGGUGAAAUCCCUCGGCUUAACCGAGGAACUGCCUGUCAAACUGCAUGGCUUGAGACCGGGAGAGGUGAGUGGAAUUCCCAGUGUAGCGGUGAAAAUGCGUAGAUAUUUGGGGAGGAACACCAGUGGCGAAGGCGGCUCACUGGACCGGUACUGACGCUGAUGCGCGAAAAGCGUGGGGGAGCAAACAGG
rnacentral:rRNA from 1 species